rnacentral:rRNA from 1 species
ACUGAGACACGGCCCAGACUCCUACGGGAGGCAGCAGUGGGGAAUAUUGCACAAUGGGCGAAAGCCUGAUGCAGCGACGCCGCGUGAGGGAUGACGGCCUUCGGGUUGUAAACCUCUUUCGACAGGGACGAAGCGUGAGUGACGGUACCUGUAGAAGAAGCACCGGCCAACUACGUGCCAGCAGCCGCGGUAAUACGUAGGGUGCGAGCGUUGUCCGGAAUUACUGGGCGUAAAGAGCUUGUAGGCGGUUUGUCGCGUCGUCUGUGAAAACUCACAGCUCAACUGUGAGCUUGCAGGCGAUACGGGCAGACUUGAGUACUGCAGGGGAGACUGGAAUUCCUGGUGUAGCGGUGAAAUGCGCAGAUAUCAGGAGGAACACCGGUGGCGAAGGCGGGUCUCUGGGCAGUAACUGACGCUGAGAAGCGAAAGCGUGGGUAGCGAACAGGAUUAGAUACCCUGGUAGUCCACGCCGUAAACGGUGGGCGCUAGGUGUGGGUUUCCUUCCACGGGAUCCGUGCCGUAGCUAACGCAUUAAGCGCCCCGCCUGGGGAGUACGGCCGCAAGGCUAAAACUCAAAGGAAUUGACGGGGGCCCGCACAAGCGGCGGAGCAUGUGGAUUAAUUCGAUGCAACGCGAAGAACCUUACCUGGGUUUGACAUACACCGGAAACCUGCAGAGAUGUAGGCCCCCUUGUGGUCGGUGUACAGGUGGUGCAUGGCUGUCGUCAGCUCGUGUCGUGAGAUGUUGGGUUAAGUCCCGCAACGAGCGCAACCCUUGUCCUGUGUUGCCAGCGGAUUAUGCCGGGGACUCGCAGGAGACUGCCGGGGUCAACUCGGAGGAAGGUGGGGACGACGUCAAGUCAUCAUGCCCCUUAUGUCCAGGGCUUCACACAUGCUACAAUGGCCGGUACAGAGGGCUGCGAUACCGUGAGGUGGAGCGAAUCCCUUAAAGCCGGUCUCAGUUCGGAUCGGGGUCUGCAACUCGACCCCGUGAAGUUGGAGUCGCUAGUAAUCGCAGAUCAGCAACGCUGCGGUGAAUACGUUCCCGGGCCUUGUACACACCGCCCGUCACGUCAUGAAAGUCGGUAACACCCG